rnacentral:misc_RNA from 1 species
GAUGAAGAACGCAGCGAAAUGCGAUACUUGGUGUGAAUUGCAGAAUCCCGUGAACCAUCGAGUCUUUGAACGCAAGUUGCGCCCGAAGCCAUUAGGCCGAGGGCACGCCUGCCUGGGCGUCACACGUCGUUGCCCCCCCAUCUACUCCUUCGGGAUUGCGGGGGGCGGCUGAUGGCCUCCCGUGCGCCUCGUCGCGCGGUUGGCAUAAAUGCCAAGUCCUCGGCGACGCACGCCACGACAAUCGGUGGUUGCGAAACCUCGGUUGCCCGUCGUGUGCGGUCGUCGCGCAUCGAGGGCUCGAAAAAAUUGUCGGGCUCCGGCUCGGCUUUCAACGCGACCCCAGGUCAGGCGGGGUUACCCGCUGAAUUUAAGCAUAUCAAUAAGCGGAGGA